ACUCCUACGGGAGGCAGCAGUGGGGAAUAUUGCACAAUGGGCGCAAGCCUGAUGCAGCCAUGCCGCGUGUGUGAAGAAAGGCCUUCGGGUUUGUAAAGCGACUUUCUAGCAGUGAGGAAGGCGGAGUCGUUAAUAGCGGCCUCGUUUGACGUUAGCUGCAGAAGAAGCACCGGCUAACUCCGUGCCAGCAGCCGCGGUAAUACGGAGGGUGCGAGCGUUAAUCGGAAUUACUGGGCGUAAAGCGUCAUGCAGGUGGUUUGUUAAGUCAGAUGUGAAAGCCCGGGGCUCAACCUCGGAAUAGCAUUUGAAACUGGCAGACUAGAGUCUUGUAGAGGGGGGUAGAAUUUCAGGUGUAGCGGUGAAAUGCGUAGAGAUCUGAAGGAUACCAGUGCGAAGCGGCCCCCUGGACAAAGACUGACGCUCAGAUGCGAAAGCGUGGGGAGCAAACAGGAUUAGAUACCCGUGGUAGGAUAGCG
rnacentral:rRNA from 1 species